AAGUCGUAACAAGGUUUCCGUAGGUGAACCUGCGGAAGGAUCAUUAUUGAAUAUUCUUGAUGGGUUGUUGCUGACUCUCCGGAGUAUGUGCACACUUGUCUUGACUUUAUUCGUCCACCUGUGCACCUUUUGUAGUCUUGGGGGUUGAGAGCAGUCAAUUAUCGGAUGGCUAUGGCCUUUCCGGACGUGAGGAUUGCUGAGUGCGAAAGCAUACAGCUCUUCUCAAAUGACUUGCAGCCUCUCCCUCGAGUACUAUGUAUUCAUAUACCACAUAGUAUGUUGUAGAAUGUGAUCAAUGGGCUUAUAUGCCUAUAAUAAUGAAAUACAACUUUCAGCAACGGAUCUCUUGGCUCUC
rnacentral:misc_RNA from 1 species